rnacentral:rRNA from 1 species
UUCCCUUCGGGGACAGAGUGACAGGUGGUGCAUGGUUGUCGUCAGCUCGUGUCGUGAGAUGUUGGGUUAAGUCCCGCAACGAGCGCAACCCUUGAUCUUAGUUGCCAGCAUUUAGUUGGGCACUCUAAGGUGACUGCCGGUGACAAACCGGAGGAAGGUGGGGAUGACGUCAAAUCAUCAUGCGUCUUAUGACCUGGGCUACACACGUGCUACAAUGGACAGAACAAAGGCAUGCGAGACCGCAAGGUUUAGCCAAUCCCAUAAAUCUGUUCUCAGUUCGGAUCGCAGUCUGCAACUCGACUGCGUGAAGCUGGAAUCGCUAGUAAUCGCGGAUCAGCAUGCCGCGGUGAAUACGUUCCCGGGCCUUGUACACACCGCCCGUCACACCACGAGA